AUUGAACGCUGGCGGCAUGCCUUACACAUGCAAGUCGAACGGUAACAGGUCUUCGGAUGCUGACGAGUGGCGAACGGGUGAGUAAUACAUCGGAACGUGCCUAGUAGUGGGGGAUAACUACUCGAAAGAGUGGCUAAUACCGCAUGAGAUCUACGGAUGAAAGCAGGGGAUCGCAGGACCUUGUGCUACUAGAGCGGCCGAUGGCAGAUUAGGUAGUUGGUGGGAUAAAAGCUUACCAAGCCGACGAUCUGUAGCUGGUCUGAGAGGACGAUCAGCCACACUGGGACUGAGAAACGGCCCAGACUCCUACGGGAGGCAGCAGUGGGGAAUUUUGGACAAUGGGCGCAAGCCUGAUCCAGCAAUGCCGCGUGCAGGAUGAAGGCCUUCGGGUUGUAAACUGCUUUUGUACGGAACGAAAAGCCCCGGGUUAAUACCCUGGUGUCAUGACGGUACCGUAAGAAUAAGCACCGGCUAACUACGUGCCAGCAGCCGCCGUAA
rnacentral:rRNA from 1 species